GCCACCGUAGCUCAGUUGGCAGAGCACCUCACUCGUAAUGAGGAUGUCGACGGUUCGAAUCCGCCCGGUGGCUCCA
rnacentral:tRNA from 1 species